GACGAACGCUGGCGGCGUGCUUAACACAUGCAAGUCGAACGGAAAGGCCUCUUUCGGGGGGUACUCGAGUGGCGAACGGGUGAGUAACACGUGAGUAACCUGCCCUUGACUUUGGGAUAACUUCAGGAAACUGGGGCUAAUACCGGAUAGGAGCUCCUGCUGCAUGGUGGGGGUUGGAAAGUUUCGGCGGUUGGGGAUGGACUCGCGGCUUAUCAGCUUGUUGGUGGGGUAGUGGCUGACCAAGGCUUUGACGGGUAGCCGGCCUGAGAGGGUGACCGGCCACAUUGGGACUGAGAUACGGCCCAGACUCCUACGGGAGGCAGCAGUGGGGAAUAUUGCACAAUGGGUGGAAGCCUGAUGCAGCAACGCCGUGUGCGGGAUGACGGCCUUCGGGUUGUAAACCGCUUUCGCUCAUGACGAAGCUUUGUGUGACGGUAGUGGGUAAAGAAGCACCGGCUAACUACGUG
rnacentral:rRNA from 1 species